rnacentral:rRNA from 1 species
GACGAACGCUGGCGGCGUGCUUAACACAUGCGAGUCGAACGGAAAGGCCCCUUUUGGGGUACUCGCGUGGCGAACGGGUGAGUAACACGUGAGUAACCUGCCCUUGACUUCGGGAUAACUUCAGUAAACUGGGUCUAAUACCGGAUAGGAAUCCUUGCUGCAUGGUUGGGGUUGGAAAGCUUCGGCGGUUUUGGAUGGACUCGCGGCUUAUCAGCUUGUUGGUGGGGUAGUGGCUUACCAAGGCUUUGACGGGUAGCCGGCCUGAGAGGGCGACCGGCCACAUUGGGAAUGAGAUACGGCCCAGACUCCUACGGGAGGCAGCAGUGGGGAAUAUUGCACAAUGGGCGGAAGCCUGAUGCAGCAACGCCGCGUGCGGGAUGACGGCCUUCGGGUUGUAAACCGCUUUCAGCAGGGGCGAAGCUUGUGGUGACGGUACCUGCAGAAGAAGCACCGGCUAACUACGUG